UUUCCAAAAUUGUAAAUAAA
rnacentral:miRNA from 1 species